GGUUAAGCGACUAAGCGUACACGGUGGAUGCCCUGGCAGUCAGAGGCGAUGAAGGACGUGCUAAUCUGCGAUAAGCGUCGGUAAGGUGAUAUGAACCGUUAUAACCGGCGAUUUCCGAAUGGGGAAACCCAGUGUGUUUCGACACACUAUCAUUAACUGAAUCCAUAGGUUAAUGAGGCGAACCGGGGGAACUGAAACAUCUAAGUACCCCGAGGAAAAGAAAUCAACCGAGAUUCCCCCAGUAGCGGCGAGCGAACGGGGAGCAGCCCAGAGCCUGAAUCAGUGUGUGUGUUAGUGGAAGCGUCUGGAAAGGCGCGCGAUACAGGGUGACAGCCCCGUACACAAAAAUGCACAUACUGUGAGCUCGAUGAGUAGGGCGGGACACGUGGUAUCCUGUCUGAAUAUGGGGGGACCAUCCUCCAAGGCUAAAUACUCCUGACUGACCGAUAGUGAACCAGUACCGUGAGGGAAAGGCGAAAAGAACCCCGGCGAGGGGAGUGAAAAAGAACCUGAAACCGUGUACGUACAAGCAGUGGGAGCACAGAGCAAUCUGUGUGACUGCGUACCUUUUGUAUAAUGGGUCAGCGACUUAUAUUCUGUAGCAAGGUUAACCGAAUAGGGGAGCCGAAGGGAAACCGAGUCUUAACUGGGCGUUAAGUUGCAGGGUAUAGACCCGAAACCCGGUGAUCUAGCCAUGGGCAGGUUGAAGGUUGGGUAACACUAACUGGAGGACCGAACCGACUAAUGUUGAAAAAUUAGCGGAUGACUUGUGGCUGGGGGUGAAAGGCCAAUCAAACCGGGAGAUAGCUGGUUCUCCCCGAAAGCUAUUUAGGUAGCGCCUCGUGAAUUCAUCUCCGGGGGUAGAGCACUGUUUCGGCAAGGGGGUCAUCCCGACUUACCAACCCGAUGCAAACUGCGAAUACCGGAGAAUGUUAUCACGGGAGACACACGGCGGGUGCUAACGUCCGUCGUGAAGAGGGAAACAACCCAGACCGCCAGCUAAGGUCCCAAAGUCAUGGUUAAGUGGGAAACGAUGUGGGAAGGCCCAGACAGCCAGGAUGUUGGCUUAGAAGCAGCCAUCAUUUAAAGAAAGCGUAAUAGCUCACUGGUCGAGUCGGCCUGCGCGGAAGAUGUAACGGGGCUAAACCAUGCACCGAAGCUGCGGCAGCGACGCUUAUGCGUUGUUGGGUAGGGGAGCGUUCUGUAAGCCUGCGAAGGUGUGCUGUGAGGCAUGCUGGAGGUAUCAGAAGUGCGAAUGCUGACAUAAGUAACGAUAAAGCGGGUGAAAAGCCCGCUCGCCGGAAGACCAAGGGUUCCUGUCCAACGUUAAUCGGGGCAGGGUGAGUCGACCCCUAAGGCGAGGCCGAAAGGCGUAGUCGAUGGGAAACAGGUUAAUAUUCCUGUACUUGGUGUUACUGCGAAGGGGGGACGGAGAAGGCUAUGUUGGCCGGGCGACGGUUGUCCCGGUUUAAGCGUGUAGGCUGGUUUUCCAGGCAAAUCCGGAAAAUCAAGGCUGAGGCGUGAUGACGAGGCACUACGGUGCUGAAGCAACAAAUGCCCUGCUUCCAGGAAAAGCCUCUAAGCAUCAGGUAACAUCAAAUCGUACCCCAAACCGACACAGGUGGUCAGGUAGAGAAUACCAAGGCGCUUGAGAGAACUCGGGUGAAGGAACUAGGCAAAAUGGUGCCGUAACUUCGGGAGAAGGCACGCUGAUAUGUAGGUGAAGUCCCUCGCGGAUGGAGCUGAAAUCAGUCGAAGAUACCAGCUGGCUGCAACUGUUUAUUAAAAACACAGCACUGUGCAAACACGAAAGUGGACGUAUACGGUGUGACGCCUGCCCGGUGCCGGAAGGUUAAUUGAUGGGGUCAGCGCAAGCGAAGCUCUUGAUCGAAGCCCCGGUAAACGGCGGCCGUAACUAUAACGGUCCUAAGGUAGCGAAAUUCCUUGUCGGGUAAGUUCCGACCUGCACGAAUGGCGUAAUGAUGGCCAGGCUGUCUCCACCCGAGACUCAGUGAAAUUGAACUCGCUGUGAAGAUGCAGUGUACCCGCGGCAAGACGGAAAGACCCCGUGAACCUUUACUAUAGCUUGACACUGAACAUUGAGCCUUGAUGUGUAGGAUAGGUGGGAGGCUUAGAAGUGUGGACGCCAGUCUGCAUGGAGCCGACCUUGAAAUACCACCCUUUAAUGUUUGAUGUUCUAACGUUGACCCGUAAUCCGGGUUGCGGACAGUGUCUGGUGGGUAGUUUGACUGGGGCGGUCUCCUCCUAAAGAGUAACGGAGGAGCACGAAGGUUGGCUAAUCCUGGUCGGACAUCAGGAGGUUAGUGCAAUGGCAUAAGCCAGCUUGACUGCGAGCGUGACGGCGCGAGCAGGUGCGAAAGCAGGUCAUAGUGAUCCGGUGGUUCUGAAUGGAAGGGCCAUCGCUCAACGGAUAAAAGGUACUCCGGGGAUAACAGGCUGAUACCGCCCAAGAGUUCAUAUCGACGGCGGUGUUUGGCACCUCGAUGUCGGCUCAUCACAUCCUGGGGCUGAAGUAGGUCCCAAGGGUAUGGCUGUUCGCCAUUUAAAGUGGUACGCGAGCUGGGUUUAGAACGUCGUGAGACAGUUCGGUCCCUAUCUGCCGUGGGCGCUGGAGAACUGAGGGGGGCUGCUCCUAGUACGAGAGGACCGGAGUGGACGCAUCACUGGUGUUCGGGUUGUCAUGCCAAUGGCACUGCCCGGUAGCUAAAUGCGGAAGAGAUAAGUGCUGAAAGCAUCUAAGCACGAAACUUGCCCCGAGAUGAGUUCUCCCUGACUCCUUGAGAGUCCUGAAGGAACGUUGAAGACGACGACGUUGAUAGGCCGGGUGUGUAAGCGCAGCGAUGCGUUGAGCUAACCGGUACUAAUGAACCGUGAGGCUUAACCUU
rnacentral:rRNA from 1 species